AUAAUGCAAGUCGUACGCUUCUUUUUCCACCGGAGCUUGCUCCACCGGAAAAAGAAGAGUGGCGAACGGGUGAGUAACACGUGGGUAACCUGCCCAUCAGAAGGGGAUAACACUUGGAAACAGGUGCUAAUACCGUAUAACAAUCGAAACCGCAUGGUUUUGAUUUGAAAGGCGCUUUCGGGUGUCGCUGAUGGAUGGACCCGCGGUGCAUUAGCUAGUUGGUGAGGUAACGGCUCACCAAGGCCACGAUGCAUAGCCGACCUGAGAGGGUGAUCGGCCACAUUGGGACUGAGACACGGCCCAAACCCCUACGGGAGGCAGCAGUAGGGAAUCUUCGGCAAUGGACGAAAGUCUGACCGAGCAACGCCGCGUGAGUGAAGAAGGUUUUCGGAUCGUAAAACUCUGUUGUUAGAGAAGAACAAGGAUGAGAGUAACUGUUCAUCCCUUGACGGUAUCUAACCAGAAAGCCACGGCUAACUACGUGCCAGCAGCCGCGGUAAUACGUAGGUGGCAAGCGUUGUCCGGAUUUAUUGGGCGUAAAGCGAGCGCAGGCGGUUUCUUAAGUCUGAUGUGAAAGCCCCCGGCUCAACCGGGGAGGGUCAUUGGAAACUGGGAGACUUGAGUGCAGAAGAGGAGAGUGGAAUUCCAUGUGUAGCGGUGAAAUGCGUAGAUAUAUGGAGGAACACCAGUGGCGAAGGCGGCUCUCUGGUCUGUAACUGACGCUGAGGCUCGAAAGCGUGGGGAGCAAACAGGAUUAGAUACCCUGGUAGUCCACGCCGUAAACGAUGAGUGCUAAGUGUUGGAGGGUUUCCGCCCUUCAGUGCUGCAGCUAACGCAAUUAGCACUUCCG
rnacentral:rRNA from 1 species